GAUGAACGCUGGCGGCGUGCCUAAUACAUGCAAGUAGAACGCUGAAGGAGGAGCUUGCUCUUCUGGAUGAGUUGCGAACGGGUGAGUAACGCGUAGGUAACCUGCCUGGUAGCGGGGGAUAACUAUUGGAAACGAUAGCUAAUACCGCAUGACAACAGUUAUUGCAUGAUAACUGUUUAAAAGGGGCAACUGCUCCACUACCAGAUGGACCUGCGUUGUAUUAGCUAGUUGGUGAGGUAACGGCUCACCAAGGCGACGAUACAUAGCCGACCUGAGAGGGUGAUCGGCCACACUGGGACUGAGACACGGCCCAGACUCCUACGGGAGGCAGCAGUAGGGAAUCUUCGGCAAUGGACGGAAGUCUGACCGAGCAACGCCGCGUGAGUGAAGAAGGUUUUCGGAUCGUAAAGCUCUGUUGUAAGAGAAGAACGAGUGUGAGAGUGGAAAGUUCACAAUGUGACGGUAUCUUACCAGAAAGGGACGGCUAACUACGUG
rnacentral:rRNA from 1 species